CCCAUAUAGAUAAACAGUUAUGGUAUCUUGCAAUGCUCCUGGGUAGGGCUGAAAUGUCAAAUAUGCCAACUUGGAUGAAUUAUUGCUUAAAUAUGCUUUUAGAUACAAAUGUCAAAUAUAUGUCAACAAUACUUAAUCCAAAGGACCAUUUUAUGGAUAAAAUUGUGACAAUCCAAAAAAUUCCCUUUUGUUCUAGUUUCAUGUGGACUCACUGUUUCUUUCUCUGAUGUGUGAGGGGGAGAUAGUGAGCCAGAGGAUGAGGGUAUGCAGGAGAGGGAGGGAGUGAGAGGUGUGUGUGUGUAAGGGAGAGAAUCAGAGGAUGUGUGUGCAGAGGGGAGUGAGAGGUGUGUGUGUGUAAGGGAGAGAAUCAGAGGGGGUGUGUGUGUGUGUAUAUAUGCAGGAGUGCUGAGGGGAGUGAGAGGUGUGUGUAAGGGAGAGAAUCAGAGGAUGGGUGUGUGUAUGCAGGGAGUGAGAGGUGUGUGUGUGUGUGAGGGAGAGAAUCAGAGGAUGAGUGUGUGUGUAUGCAGGGAGUGCUGAGGGGAUUGAGAGGUGUGUGUGUGUGCAGGGAGAAUCAGAGGAUGAGUGUGUGUGUAUGCAGGGAGUGCUGAGGGGAGUGAGAGGUGUGUGUGUGUGUGUGUGUGUGUGUAAGGGAGAGAAUCAGAGGAUGAGAGAUGGAGCUGGUUGUGGUGGUGCUGUAGCAGCACAGAAUGGUUUGUGGGUUACACAGAGAUGCAGGCCGUACUGUGCUGCCGCAGUAACGCCUGGACAGACGGCAUCUGUGGAACCACCCGGAAGAGUGUGUGCGGGAGAGUGUGUGUGUGGGAUCCG
rnacentral:lncRNA from 1 species